GGUCUCUGUCUCCUGGGGUCUCUCAGGGAUUGUGUCUCGUGGCAGAAGAGAUCUGACAGACAAAUCAAGUUACCAAUCAGCUGACUUUUAAGUCAUGGAGAUCACCCCAAGGGCUGAACCUGACCAUAUUUUCUCCUUCUGUGCUGAGGGAGCUCUCUAGCUGGUCACAGAGGAGAAGGCGCAGAGAUCUCAAGGGUGAGAAGAGUAUGAUGCCAGAAGUUCUCCAGCAACCACUGGGAGCUGAGGGCGGUUGCUGGCCAGCAGCCAGUGAGACAGAAAGAAGAGCGUCAGGGACUCUAGUCCUAUGUCCCUGAGGAAUUGAGUUCUGCCAACAACCUGUGAGCUGGCAAGAGGCCUCCAAGCCCCAGAAAGGAGCCAUGUGAGCCUGAGCAGAGGUCCCCACGAUCCUGUGCCCAGACUCCUGACCAUGGAAACGGUGAGAAAUAAAGACCUGUUGUUUUACGUUUCCAGCUUCAGCAGCAGAAAACAAGUGCUGAUUCCAGUCCAGGGAAAUGAGGGGCUGCGGCAACGCGCCUGAAACUGGGAGCCAGGCAGCAGGCAGAGGCUAGAGGCCUGAGGAGCAGGAGAGAAAAGCCCCGGGUGCCUGGGAGAGGCCACCGGUGGGAGAUGCUGCGACAGCGGGCGUGUUGCUGGCAGGGCCGGAGCAGAGAGAAGCAAGGGGACAGAGACCAACUGCAGAGAGCUGUCAAGCAAACAAGAGCCAUGAUCAGAUGACUCUGGAAUGGUCGGUCUCCCCAGAGGACAAGACGCCCAAGGUAGAAAUGGCUGCCAAGAAUGGCACGGAGGAGAGUGGGUGUGUGCCUGCCCAAGGUGGGAAGGUCAGCGCUUGGCCACUCAGGAGAUGCCUGCAGGGUGAGCGUGCUUUGCAGAUUUUCUCAAUAGAGGACCUUGAGGGAGUUCAAGAGCACUGUCCUUUCACCACAGAAGCUAAAAAUAGAGAUGGGAUUAGCUCACAUCUGUGCACAUGGCUUACGCACGUGACUUUGGUCUAAUGGCGUGAACUCCCAUGAAAUCCUCAUGUGACCCACAAAGUUCUUGGGAAAAUCCUACCGGUGGGAACGCUGAGGGCAGCACUGGAGGUUCAAACAUGGAGCAGCAGCACACUGACAGGACCUGGGCUGACGCACAGGCUCCCUUCCAUGAAGAAGGGCGAACGGCUUAGGGUGGGGCCGAAGGACCAACAGGUGGCACCUAGAGCCCAGAGGGAAGGCAGAGACGCUAUUCCCAGGUCUGAACACCUAGCUGAAGAACUCGGCCUGAAGUUGACUGGGAUGGAUUUCAAAACUGCUUUGGAGCAGUGAUUCUUUGUUCUUCUAACUCCCUGCUUCUGAACCAGGAUGUCCACCGUCAUCAUCCCAGGCCCGUCCCCCUGCAGGCCAGGAGUGUGGGGAGAUAGUGUGUCCCUUGAGAUUAUGGGUCCACAGUCAACCUGUGCCCAAACAGGCCCCAUUCCAUCUGAUUAGAGUAAUGAGAUUCUCAGAUUGGUGUUGAAUUGAUAACAGGAUGAGACUGGAGGACCUUGAAAUGGGGUGGGUGCAUUUUCCAAGGGAAUACAGAUACGAAUCACUGGUUGCCAGAGGGUGAAGUAUGGCAGCCAGAAUUCUAAGAUGAACUCCCAAGGCCCCUGCCUAUAAAAUAUGUCCCAAGUGGGAGUGGAGCCUGUGAAAAUGAUGUCAUUCUCUGAUUAUGUUUUGUUACAUAGCAAAAGAGAUCUGGCAGAUAUGAUUUUACUAAGCAGAUCACUUCAGGUUCAUCACAAGGGAACUUCUCCAGGUGAGCCACACGUGAGUGCGAGCCUCUUAAAAGCAGAAAGGAAGCCAAACAGUCAAAAACAAGGGAGACCUGGGGUGCCCUGGGGUGCCCUGGCAGACCUGAAGACACUGGAGGCCGUCUGGGAGGCUAGUGUAUGUUGGGAAGGCUGUCACCCACUGCCAGUCCCCACGCUCUUCUUCCUCAUAGCACAAUCCCUGGGCUACUGGUGAGUUUGCCCAGUCAACAGGAACUGCAUUUUCGGGGGUCCCUUGCAGGUAGGCACGGUCACGGAAAUGAGCUCCAGCAGGUAAAACAUGAGGGAUGCUCCUGUGGGGGGAUGAUCAGGAAAGCUCCACAGGAGGACAGAGUUUGCAGGAACACCUCUGCCUUGCCCUUCCUUCCUGCUCUAAAUGAGGUGGGGUGCCAGGGGCCCCCUCAGCCAUUCUGUACCUUGAAUGACUCUGAGAACAGAAUGAGGUGGCAGACAAAAGUGGAAACAACUUGGAGCCCUCAUGACCAGACAAGCCAGCCCUGAGCUUAUUAUCCGUUAUGUGGAAGGAAAUAAAACUGCACUGUGUUCAAGCUAAAUCCUGGCCAAAUGCAAUUGCUAACUUGAUAAAAUCGAUUAUUUCACGAUAUCACUUUGGUAUUGAUGUUGGUAUUGAAGGGUAAGGUGACUGCACAGGGCAUAUUUCACAAGUAUGAAAGCAUUUAUAACUUAAACUAAUAAUAAAAUGAAUACCUUUGUACCCACCAUUCAACCUAAAAAUAAUGAAUCAUUCCAUUAUGUACAAUUUUCCAUCUCUUACCCUACCAAGGAGAACCCCUAUUUUGGAUUCUUUGUUUAACAGUCCCUUAUUUUUAAUUUAUAGUUAUUCCACACAUUUCUGCAACUUUGAAUUAUACUGCUUGACUUUACUAGUUUUAAAAUCUUAUAUAAAUUAUACUACACUUGA